UACGUAGGGUGCGAGCGUUAAUCGGAAUUACUGGGCGUAAAGCGUGCGCAGGCGGUUCGUUGUGUCGGCGGUGAAAGCCCCGGGCUCAACCUGGGAAUGGCCGUUGAAACUGGCGAACUGGAGUGUGGCAGAGGGGGGUGGAAUUCCGCGUGUAGCAGUGAAAUGCGUAGAGAUGCGGAGGAACACCGAUGGCGAAGGCAUCCCCCUGGGCUGACACUGACGCUCAGGCACGAAAGCGUGGGGAGCAAACAGG
rnacentral:rRNA from 1 species